GAUGAACGCUGGCGGCGUGCCUAAUACAUGCAAGUCGAGCGAACAGACGAGGAGCUUGCUCCUCUGACGUUAGCGGCGGACGGGUGAGUAACACGUGGAUAACCUACCUAUAUGACUGGGAUAACUUCGGGAAACCGGAGCUAAUACCGGAUAAUAUAUUGAACCGCAUGGUUCAAUAGUGAAAGACGGUUUUGCUGUCACUUAUAGAUGGAUCCGCGCCGAAUUAGCUAGUUGGUAAGGUCACGGCUUACCAAGGCAACGAUGCGUAGCCGACCUGGGAGGAUGAUCGGCCACACUGGAACUGAGACACGGUCCAGACUCCUACGAGAGGCAACAGUAGUGAAUCUUCCGCAAUGGACGAAAGCUUGACGGAGCAACGCCGCGUGAGUGAUGAAGGUCUUCGGAUCGUAAAACUCUAUUAUUAGGUAAGAACAAAUGUGUAAGUAACUAUGCACGUCUUGACGGUACCUAAUCAGAAGGCCACGGCUAACUACGUG
rnacentral:rRNA from 1 species